rnacentral:rRNA from 1 species
GGACUACAAGGGUUUCUAAUCCCGUUUGCUCCCCUGGCUUUCGCGCCUCAGCGUCAGAAAAGGUCCAGCAGCGCGCUUUCGCCACCGGCGUUCCUUCCGAUAUCAACGCAUUUCACCGCUCCACCGGAAGUUCCCGCUGCCCCUGCCUCCCUCAAGACCACCAGUAUCCAGGGCUAUUUUCCGGUUAAGCCGAAAGAUUUCACCCCGGACUUGAUGACCCGCCUACGCGCCCUUUAAGCCCAGUGAUUCCGAACAACGUUUGCACGGUUCGUCUUACCGCGGCUGCUGGCAC